GGCUCAGGACGAACGCUGGCGGCGUGCCUAACACAUGCAAGUCGAGCGAGGAGAUUCCUUCGGGAUGAUCCUAGCGGCGGACGGGUGAGUAACACGUGGGCAACCUGCCUCAUAGAGAGGAAUAGCCUUCCGAAAGGGAGAUUAAUACCUCAUAACAUUGCAGUUUCGCAUGGAACAGCAAUUAAAGGAGUAAUCCGCUAUGAGAUGGGCCCGCGGCGCAUUAGCUAGUUGGUGAGGUAACGGCUCACCAAGGCGACGAUGCGUAGCCGACCUGAGAGGGUGAUCGGCCACAUUGGGACUGAGACACGGCCCAGACCCCUACGGGAGGCAGCAGUGGGGAAUAUUGCACAAUGGGGGAAACCCUGAUGCCAGCAACGCCGCGUGAGUGAUGACGGCCUUCGGGUUGUAAAGCUCUGUCUUCAGGGACGAUAAUGACGGUACCUGAGGAGGAAGCCACGGCUAACUACGUGCCAGCCGCCGC
rnacentral:rRNA from 1 species